rnacentral:rRNA from 1 species
GAUGAACGCUGGCGGCGUGCCUAAUACAUGCAAGUAGAACGCUGAAGGAAGGAGCUUGCUCUUUCCGGAUGAGUUGCGAACGGGUGAGUAACGCGUAGGUAACCUGCCUGGUAGCGGGGGAUAACUAUUGGAAACGAUAGCUAAUACCGCAUAACAGUAGAUGUUGCAUGAUAUCUACUUAAAAGGUGCAAUUGCACCACUACCAGAUGGACCUGCGUUGUAUUAGCUAGUUGGUGAGGUAACGGCCUACCAAGGCAACGAUCAGUAGCCGGUCUGAGAGGAUGACCGGCAACAUUGGAACUGAGACACGGUCCAAACUCCUACGGGAGGCAGCAGUGGUGAAUAUUGCACAAUGGGGGAAACCCUGAUGCAGCAACGCCGCGUGAGUGAAGAAGUAUUUCGGUAUGUAAAGCUCUAUCAGCAGGGAAGAUAAUGACGGUACCUUACUAAGAAGCGCCGGCUAAAUACGUG